rnacentral:rRNA from 1 species
GAGGAAUGUAUAGCAAUAGCUACUUGCAUCAUUGUAGAUAUGAUGUAAGAUCGACUAUGUUGAAUAAAAUUCUAGGUAGAAUUAUGAUAAUGACAUUGUCUGCCUAUGUGUCUUGACCAAAUUACGUGCCAGCAGUCGCGGUAAUACGUAGAAGACUAGUGUUAUUCAUGUUUAAUCGGUUUAAAGGGUACCUAGACGGUAGAUCAAGCUUUCUAAUAAAUGAAAAGGACUAAUUUACUAGAGUUACUUAUGAGGGGGUAUUAAAGUACUGCUGGUGUAGAGAUGAAAUUCUGUCAUACCUCUUUUCAAAGGAAAAACCAUGGCACAGGUAUAGGCGAAGGCAUCCCCUUAUGUGAUAACUGACGUUGAGGGACGAAGGCUUUGUGUAGCGAACAGGAUUAGAUACCCCAGUAGUCGAAGCAGAAAAUGAUGAAUGUCAUAGAUUAGAUGUAUAAGUUUAUUCUAUAAAUGAAAGUGUAAGCAUUCCACCUCAUGAGUAAUUUGGCAACAUUGGAACUGAAAUCAUUAGACCGUUUCUGAAACCAGUAGUGAAGUAUGUUGUUUAAUUUGAUGAUCCGCAAAAAACCUUACCACAAUUUGAAUAUUUAUAUUUUUUUUUAUUGUUUUCUUCAGAAAAAAAUCAAAAAAGGAAGAAAAUUAAGAAAGAGGCAAUAAGAUAUAUUUACAAGCGUUGCACGGCUGUCUUCAGUUAAUGUCGCGAGACUUUGGUUAGUUCCAUUAAAUUAACGUAAACCCUUACUUUAUUUUUAUAUAGAGUAGUUCCCCGCUAUAUUGGAUAUGAU